AGGGUUACUAAUUUUGAACAAUUAGAGACACAAAAUCAUGGGAUGCAUGGGCAGAAGAUACGAUAAAUGGAAAAGAAUGGUGAGGCAACAACAGGGAAAGUUUUAUAUUAUGAGAAUGUGUAUCCAUAUGCUUCUCAAUUGGCAUAAGUACUCUUAGUCAAAAGCACUUUUUUUAGUUUUUUCAAUCAGCUUUUAGUUUUUGGUGUUAUAUUAUAUACCUAGCUAGUUCAAUGGAUUGCAUAAUUUCAAUGUUCAGCUUAGUUAUCAUAACUAAUAAUAGUAGAUUUGUGUAUGUAACUCCCUUCUCUUAGUCACCAUAGCAAAUAAUAGUAAAUAUGUAUAUGGUGUGAGUGUUGUAUAAAAAACAUGUUUUGGAAUAUUUCUUUGCUUCUGUCACAUGAAUAUUUUUUAAAAGGAACCAUUCCAGUAAAAAUAAAUUUUUUAAUGUCCUCUUAACUAGAAA
rnacentral:lncRNA from 1 species